UGGCUCAGGACGAACGCUGGCGGCGUGCUUAACACAUGCAAGUCGAACGGGGAUUAGUUGAUUGAGAGCUUCGGCAGGAUAUCGAUUAAUUCGAGUGGCGGACGGGUGAGUAACGCGUGAGCAACCUGUCCCAGACAGGGGGAUAACACUUGGAAACAGGUGCUAAUACCGCAUAAGACCACGGGAUCACAUGGUUCCGGGGUAAAAGGAGCAAUCCGGUUUGGGGUGGGCUCGCGUCCGAUUAGCCAGUUGGCGGGUAACGGCCCACCAAAGCGACGAUCGGUAGCCGACCUGAGAGGGUGAACGGCCACAUUGGAACUGAGAGACGGUCCAAACUCCUACGGGAGGCAGCAGUGGGGAAUAUUGGGCAAUGGGCGAAAGCCCUGACCCAGCAACGCCGCGUGAGUGAAGAAGGCCUUCGGGUUGUAAAGCUCUGUUAUAGUUGACGAAGGAAGUCGACGGUAGGCUAUAAGGAAGCCCGGCUAACUACGUGCCAGCCGCCGC
rnacentral:rRNA from 1 species